CCGGAGUCAGCUCAGGGGAUGGAGAGAAAUAUGGAACCGGAUGGCACUCCAAACUCCACACCCCCACUCUGAGAGUCCAUAAGGCACCCUCCAACCUGGGCCUUGAAGCAACAGCGCUGCACGUACGCCCCAACACAGCCUCCAACAAAAAGAGCGUCCGCUGGGUCCAAUGAUGGUCGGAUCAUUCUGUCAAGAGGCUCUUAAAGUGAAACGUGGUGAGAAGGGUUCUGCACCCCCAUAAGAAACAGGUUUGUAAAUGGAGGAGAUGAAGAGGGACCACAGAGAAGAGGGUCCGGCAAGGAACCCCCAAGCUAUGACUUUCAGCUUUGGUUCCACACUGAGAUCAAACUAUGGUUUGAAAUCGUGGUGUCGGCAGAUGUUCUCCGAGGAGAUGGCGCUGUCCACCCCCAUGGGCCUUCUCCGGCGGUUCCUUCUUCUGAAACAAGUGACGGUACUUCUGUCCCCCCGUUGCGCCAUGCUGCCCCUGGUGGUGGGUUGUGUGAUCAGCAUGAAGGCCCUGUCGUUGCUGCGCUCGCCCCACAUCUCAACCAAGCCCUCCAGCGUCUUCCUGCGGCAGCUUGCCCUUGCAGGCCUCCUCCCACUCCCCUACCUGGCACUGCGGCUGGCGCUGACCACCCUCGACCUCGCCGUGAUGGAGGCUGCUGCGCCGGGAGAGGUGGCCCAGGAGACAGCAGGAAGGGGUUAAGGGAGAAUCCUCCUCACGUGUAAUGGCCAAGUGGACCGAAGAAAUGGAGGAGCAGCUGAUUGCACUGGUGGAAGAGAGACCACCGUUGUACAACAUCACGCUACAGGGCUAUUCCAAACGGAAUAGGAAGGAUCAACUGUGGCGUGAGAUCGAAAGCGAGCUCCAUCUAUCAGGCAAAGAAGUUCGUAGGAAAUGGGAUAACCUCCGUACGACCUACAAUCGCUUUAAAAAAACGGGCCCGAGGACGACGAGACAACAGUGGACCCUCGAUCGGAUGCAGUUCAUUGAGCCACACACCAAGAGGAAGGAGAACACCUCCAACCUCAAUCGCAGGGUGAUAAAAUGUAUCAUCUCUGCCUUUACUAAAAUAUGGUUGUCUAUAAAAUAACGUGUGCUCCUUUUUUGUAAAUGGCAAGCAUGCCCCGUUAUGAAUAGGAGGAUACCAUUAAAUUAAAUUACAUUUUAUUUGUAUAGUCCUUAAUCACCAUUACAGUCUCAAAGGGCUUAACAGGCCAAAUAUGUAUGACACCCCCCUGACCCUAGCUCCCAAAAGGGCAAGAAAAAACUCCCUUAAUCUGCAACGAAGAAAUCUUGAGGAAGAAUGCAGAUUGGGGGAUCCCUCCUUCCAGGGACGGUCAGUGUGCGGCACAACGCAGUUGGUACCAUAAUCCACCCUUGCUCUUUUGUUUAGGAAUUGUGUGAGGCUGGGGCGCCUGAGGGGGCGAGCAUGGUGACCGAUUCCUCUCUGGAGGGCAAUGGCAGCACACUACCAGAGGAGACCGAGUUGGACAUCCCGCUGGCUGGCUCCCCGAUUGCAGAGUCGGCCAUCUGUGCUUUUCUUGGAAAUUCACAACCUGCUGCUUUACUGGACACUCGUGAUAAGGGAGAGUCCUCCUCACGUAUAAUGUUCAAGUGGACCGAAGAAAUGGAGGAGCAACUGAUUGCUCUGGUGGAAGACAGACCACCGUUGUACAACAUCACGCUACAGGGCUAUUCCAACCGGAAUAGGAAGGAUCAACUUUGGCGUGAGAUCGAGAGCAAGCUCCAUCUAUCAGGGAAAGAAGUGCGGAGGAAAUGGGACAACCUCCGUACGACCUACAAUCGCUUUAAAAAAACGGCUCCUUUGGGAAGCUCAGGGGCCCCGAGGACAACGAGACAACAUUGGACCCUCAAUCGGAUGCAGUUCAUUGAGCCACACACCAAGAGGAAGGAGAGCACGUCCAACCUUCCUCGCAAGGAAUUGUGUGAUGCGGGGGCGCCUGAGGGGGCGAGCAUGGUGACCGAUUCCUCUUCGGAGGGCAAUGGCAGCACACUACCAGAGGAGCCGGAGGUGGACAUCCCGCUGGCUGGCUCCCCGACCAUCUGUGAGGGUACACUCCCUGGGGUUUUGGAGUGCAGUUUGACCUCCGGAGGUACUGACCAACGCCAGCGUCAGCCCGCAAAGCGGAAAAAGAAGCGUGGGGAUCGGGCCGUGAAUGAGGAGGUGGUGCUCAUGCAGACCAUCGGCAAAACCCUGGAAAGGAUGGCAACAGGAGCACCACGGCAAGAGGAGCACAACGACUACAUUUCGGUGUGCUGCAAGCGGAUUGAACACCGGCUGCGAAUGCUCCCGCAGCAUCAGCUCGCACAGUUUGAGUAUGAGAUGGACUGCCUGCUCUACAGGUUUUCCCAGAACCAGAUCCAGGAAACUGACUGAAAGGACCUUACUCCUCUGGCAACGGACUGAAAGGACAUAAGUCCUCUAUGAUAUUUAUAUUUGUGCCUUUUCCCUUUUUACUGCUCUGGAAUACGGUACACCACUUUAGAUAAAAAAAUUUAAUAAAUUAUAAGCUGUUUUCUUCCUGUCUCCUUUUUUCUAUAUUUGAACAUAGGCUAUAUGCAGGGGUGUUGUGGUAAAAUAAGAUGUGGGUAAUAUAUGAGGAUGGCAGAUAUUGAAUCCCGAUAGUUGGUAUUUUUACGCUGAAUAAUUGUGAUUUAUUCCUCCAACAUCUGGAACUUCAUCGCCAGUUCCCGACACAGAAACUGAUAAGCUCCUUUUGCCUGCCGCUGUGGGAUCCACGACUUCACCCACGACUAAGUAUUGUAUUCCACAAACUUCUUUGGUCAAACGAAUAAUGAGAUAAUUACGUGCACUUUGUUUUCUAAUCAGAUCAUCUGCAUUACCUUUGCCAUUUCCUGUUUUCAUGUUGUGGGUAAGUUUGUUGCAGAACAGGAGCCACACACAACGUGCAAGAUGUUGCUGUGCAUAAUCUUACAGUCCUUAGCAUUGCUCCCCCUUCAAAUGUGUCACAGACCCGACGUCUUACCUGUACUGUGUCUCUUCACAUAAAAGAUGGUCAGACGUUUACCAGAGAUCUGCUUGUAGAUACUGGUUCAGCAGUCUCCAUACUUCCAGAGCACAUUUGCCAGAGCACAUUAUGUGCCUCUUACAAAGCUUACAGUUAGAUUAGCGAUGUACAUGAAGAAACCUAUUACUGUCCUAGGGUAUACAAACCACACCUCCUGACUGCCGCUUUGCAAUUACUCUUGUUGACUACUAUCGAUGGCCUGAGAUUGCCUUCUGCUCAGCUGUAACCAGGGGCAAUUCUAGGUUCUGACUUGGAUGGAAAUGGGUGUGAACUAUAAUAAUCAAUUUGAGGUAUAUUCAAUUUUCUUUGGGUAAUUUUCAUUAAAAAAUGACCAUAUUUCUCACUUUU
ensembl:lncRNA